AGCGAACGCUGGCGGCAGGCCUAACACAUGCAAGUCGAACGCUCCGCAAGGGGAGUGGCGCACGGGUGAGUAACACGUGGGAACCUACCUUCUGGUACGGAACAACCAAGGGAAACUUUGGCUAAGACCGUAUACGACCUCCGGGUGAAAGAUUGAUCGCCGGAAGAGGGGCCCGCGUCCGAUUAGGUAGUUGGUGAGGUAACGGCUCACCAAGCCUUCGAUCGGUAGCUGGUCUGAGAGGAUGACCAGCCACACUGGGACUGAGACACGGCCCAGACUCCUACGGGAGGCAGCAGUGGGGAAUAUUGGACAAUGGGCGCAAGCCUGAUCCAGCCAUGCCGCGUGAGUGAUGAAGGCCUU
rnacentral:rRNA from 1 species